rnacentral:rRNA from 1 species
GUAGGCGGUUUAAUAAGUGAAUAGUGAAACCUGGUGGCUCAACCAUACAGACUAUUAUUCAAACUGUUAAACUCGAGAAUGGUAGAGGUAACNUGGAAUUUCUAGUGUAGGAGUGAAAUCCGUAGAUAUUAGAAGGAACACCGAUGGCGUAGGCAGGUUACUGGGCCAUUUCUGACGCUAAGGCACGAAAGCGUGGGGAGCGAACCGGAUUAGAUACCCGGGUAGUCCACGCCGUAAACGAUGGAUACUAGCUGUUGGAGGUAUCGACCCCUUCAGUAGCGAAGCUAACGCGUUAAGUAUCCCGCCUGUGGAGUACGGCCGCAAGGCUAAAACAUAAAGGAAUUGACGGGGACCCGCACAAGCGGUGGAUCAUGUUCUUUAAUUCGAUGAUAACCGAUAAACCUUACCAGGUCUUGACAUCCUUGGAAUCUUUCAGAAAUGAGAGAGUGCUUUUUAAGAGCCAAGUGACAGGUGAUGCAUGGCCGUCGUCAGCUCGUGUCGUGAGAUGUUUGGUUAAGUCCAUCAACGAGCGCAACCCUUGUCAGUAGUUGUAUUUUUCUACUGAGACUGCCCCGGUAACGGGGAGGAAGGAGGGGAUGACGUCAGGUCAGUAUUUCCCUUACGUCCUGGGCUAGAACGUGAUACAAUGGCUAGUACAAUGCGCAGCGAANCCGCGAGGUG